rnacentral:tRNA from 1 species
GCGAGUGUGGCCUAGUGGUAGGGCGCUGGGUUUCAGACCCAGAAAGUGUGACCAGCACAGAAAGCGGGUUCGAUUCCCGUCGCUCGCUCCA